UGGGGAAUUUUGGACAAUGGGCGCAAGCCUGAUCCAGCAAUGCCGCGUGAGUGAAGAAGGCCUUCGGGUUGUAAAGCUCUUUUGUCAGGGAAGAAACGGUGAGAGCUAAUAUCUUUUGCUAAUGACGGUACCUGAAGAAUAAGCACCGGCUAACUACGUGCCAGCAGCCGCGGUAAUACGUAGGGUGCAAGCGUUAAUCGGAAUUACUGGGCGUAAAGCGUGCGCAGGCGGUUAUGUAAGUCAGAUGUGAAAUCCCCGGGCUCAACCUGGGAAUGGCAUUUGAGACUGCAUGGCUAGAGUGUGUCAGAGGGGGGUAGAAUUCCACGUGUAGCAGUGAAAUGCGUAGAGAUGUGGAGGAAUACCGAUGGCGAAGGCAGCCCCCUGGGAUAACACUGACGCUCAUGCACGAAAGCGUGGGGAGCAAACA
rnacentral:rRNA from 1 species